GGCCCCGUAGCUCAGCUGGAUAGAGCGUCCCCCUCCUAAGGGGAAGGUCGCACGUUCGAAUCGUGUCGGGGCCGCCA
rnacentral:tRNA from 19 species